CACCCGGUCGCACAUGGUGUGCAUCUGCUUUACCUAAGGAGCUCACCGAGAACUUAUAGGCAGAUGGCCCCCGUUCGAUCCGGGGCCGGGUGA